rnacentral:lncRNA from 1 species
UUACAGGCAUGAGCCACUGCACCCACCCCAUAAAACAUUUUUAAAAAGUUGGUAUACUUCUUCCCAGUCUCCAUUCAUUCAUUCAUUCAUUCAUUCACUGUGACAGUGUCUCCCUCUGUUGCCCAUGCUGGAGUGCAGUGGUGUGAUCACAGCUCACUGCAUUCUCUACCUCCCUGACUCAAUUGAUCUUCCCAUCUCCUCCUCCUAAGUAGGUGCGUGCCACCAUGCCUGGCUAAUUUUUGUAUUUUUUGUAGAAACGUGGUUUCAUCAUGUUGCCCAGGCUGGUCUCGCAUUCCUGGGCUCAUGCAAUCUGCCUGCCUUGGUCUCCUGAAGUGCUGUAAUUACAGACGUGAGCCAUGCUCUCAGCGUUUCUUUAUUAUUUUUUUAGAGACUGGGUCUUGCUGUGUUGCCCAGGUUGGACUGUAACUCCUGGGUUCAAGUGAUCCUUCUCUCUCUCUCUUUUUUCAUUGGCAGUUUCUACUUGAAAUCCUCCUGUUGCCCUGGCGCGGUGGCUCACAGUAGCUGGGACUACAGGUCACACCACUGUGCCCGGCUGUCUUCCCAGCCUUUUAUCUGGGCAUUUUAUCCACUUCUUAGAGUUUUCUGGCUCAUAGCUGGUACUCAAUAAAUGCUCAGAGAAGCCUCAUAACUUAGCGGUUACACACAGUUCUGGGUUUGAAACCUGUCUGCAUCUUACUAAUUGUGAGACCUUAGGGGAAUCACUUAACUUCUGUAAAAGGGGCCAGUAUAUUAUGCCCACCUCGUUGGGUUGUUGCAAAUAACAAAUAAUGAUGUGUGAAAGAUUUAACACGGUCCCUAAGAAAAGUAAACGUAGAAUUGCCAUAUGGGCCAGGCAUGGUGGCUCAAGCCUGUAAUCCCAACAUCUUGACAGGCUGAGGUGGGUGGAUUUCUUGGGCCCAGGAGUUCGAGACCAGCCUGGGCAACACAGUGAGACCCCUGCCUCUACAAAAAAUACAAAAAUUAGCCAGGCGUUGUGGCGUGUGCCUGUGGUUCCAGCUACUUGGGAGGCUGCGGUGGGAGGAUGGCUUGAGCCUGGGAGUUGGA